AUAAUGGUACUCAGAAGUAUAGUAAUUUCUUUUUUUCUUUUUUUUAUCACCUAAAUUAUUGUGUAUCCUUUUCUCUCUGCCGUUUACCCUGCAGAGUUACGAAGGGUUCCUGGACACGUGGAACAUCUGCUCCCUCUUCCUCGGACUGGGUAACCUGCUCGUCUGGUUCGGCUGCCUGCGCUACCUUGGCUUUUUUGAGACUUACAAUGUGCUGAUUUUGACCCUCAAGAAGUGCUUCCCAAACGUGCUGCGAUACUCCAUAUGCAUCCUGAUGGUGUUUGCUGGCUACUGCCUCUGUGGCUGGCUUGUGCUUGGACCCUACCAUCUUAAGUUCCGCUCGUUUCCAUCGACAAUGG